CACCCAGUGACCUAAUUGGUUAGAGCAUCUGCCUUGGAUGUGGGAGGUCAUGGGUUUGAACUCCAGCUGAGUCA